rnacentral:lncRNA from 1 species
CAGGUGCCAGUGGCUCACAUCUAUAAUGCCAGCCCUUUGGAAGAAUGAGGCAGGAGGAUCACCUGAGGCCAGGAGUUCGAGAUCAGCCUGGGCGACAUAGCAAAACUCCAUCUCUGUUUUUUUUGUUGCUGUCGUUGUUGUUGUUGUUGUUUUUAGAGAGUGUAUUUGGUAGGAUUAUAUAUAUAUAUAUAUAUAUCAAGUUCACAAACAGCCAAAGCUAACCCAUGAUGACAAAAGUCAGAAUAGAGGUUACCUUUGGGAGGAGGGAAUGAGUUGGGAGGUAAGAGGGGUCUGGGAUAUUGGUACUGUCCUAUUUCUUAAUCUGGGUGAUGCGUUCAUUUUGUAAAUGACUAUAUGCUUGGAUGUAUAUACUUUUCUGUACAGUUGUUAUCUCUCAAUUAAAAUGUUUGCUUAAAAACACAAGUAGCAAAAUAAAUUACCUGCACUCCAACCUUCUUUUCAAGGUAGGGGCUCUUAAUCCUUUCAUGUGAUCUAAAAACAAAAGAACAAAAACUCAUGAAUAUGUUUUUCCAGAGGAUUCCUUAGCCCAAGGGAAACAGUCGUCUUCUUUUUCAG